UGUCAUUUGAAUUAUACUACAGGGAUGACUUAGUUUCUUAUUUGAAUAUACACUGUUGUUGGAAAUGCUUAACAGCAGUUAUUGUACUUGUACAGUAUCAUAAACAAUUGGAGAAUGACCAGCGACAUACGCGUUGCUCGUUCACAAAAGUACCUCGUCAUGGAAUGUUUAUUUGAUUUGCACAAUGGCUGUACAGUACAGUACAAUUGCAUAGAAAGUACUAAAGAUAGAAAUAUGUGCCCAAGAGAGUGUGUGUGUGUUCAGAAUCGCACGCGCACCCUCCAAGAGUAGUUGGUGAGAACUUUGUCUUUCUUCUUCACAAUGCAGGUGUACGUGCCCUCGUUGAUGGCGUUGGCUACUAUAGUGAUAUGGUCGUCUUUCAAAGAGAUGUAGUUGGGAUGUGAGAACUCCAGCAGCUCGCCGUCCUUGUACCAACUGAGAACAAGAUGAUGCUCCAAGUCAGUCAACACAACACAUGAUCACACAGGAGCGAACCACAAUGAGAGCCAUUAUCCACAAAUGGCGAAAACAUGGAACAGUGGUGAACCUUCCUAGGAGUGGCUGGCAAACCAUAAUUACCCCAAGAGCGCAGCGAUGACUCAUCCAAGAGGUCACAAAAGACCCCACAACAACGUCCAAAGAACUGCAGGCCUCGGUUAAGGAGUCUGGAGGCAAAGACAUCUCAGCGACGACCCCACAGAGAGAAUGAUGUGGUAAAGCAGCUCAGACGGGAGUGUUGGAAGUCAGUGGAGCCACCAUGAAAUCACCCACCGAUCUUAAUGUCCGCCUCGUGGUCCGCUGGCACCUCACGGAAGCUGAAGGGCGAGACUUCGCUCCACAUGGCAAAGGCCUUGGCGAUGCCUCGACGUGUGUCAGUGGCAUUUAUCAGGUUGGUAGGGUAGGAUAGCAAUCUGAAAUUCCAACAAAGCAGAAUGGAAUUUUGUUUGCUUACAAAUGUGUGUUGUUAUAUUGACCUGCCAAAAACACCACAUGUUCAUUUUUGGCAGUUUUUGUUCCAUAAAUAUUAAGACAGAUGUUUUCAGCACUUUUUACUUGUAGGAUUAUGAAAGGAACAGUUAUAUUUUGGUGCUGCUCCAGAUAAAAGUGGUGAAUGCAAGAUCUUUGUUUUUUACAGUGAAAUAAUUCAGAAAUUACUCAAAAAGAAUAAACUGAUUUCAUGACGCAUUGCUUCAGUUCUCAAGCAUCGUCAUGGAGUUAGUCCAUUUGAAAGAGGAGUUUUCUAAGUUUUGAAUGGCUGCAACAUGAGCGCUGUGGUCGCAUUGUUCCUCUCGCAACAUUGGUCACAAGGGGCACCUUGCUCUUUGUGCUUGGCCUGCGAGAUCCCCAGAUCUCACUGUGUGUGAUUUUUUUUUUUUUUUUUCUUGUGGGGAUAUGUAAAAGAUUGUUUCUUAUAUUAUGUUCCACUGCUACCCACUAACCUCGAUGACCUUAAAAAUUUAAUAACAGCGAUCAACUCAGUGAAUCGUGAUAUGCUGCUACUCGGGCUGGGUGGUAUAUCCAUCCAUCCUCUAUGCCGCUAGGGUCGCGGGUAUGCUGGAGCCUAUCCCAGCUGACUUCGGGCGAGAGAACGGGGUACACUCUGGACUGGUCGCCAGCCAAUCGCUGGGCACAUAUAGACAAACAACCAUUUACACUCACAUUCAUACCUAUGGACAAUUUAGAGUCGCCAAUGAACCUAACAUGCAUGUUUUUGGAAUGUGGGAGGAAGCCGGAGUACCCGGAGAAAACCUACUCACGUACGGGGAGAACAUGCAAACUCCACACAGAGAUGCCCAACAGAGAUUCGAACCUUCCUGACUGUGUGGCCAACAUGCUAACCACUACGCCACCGUGUGGCCAUGGGCAAUAUAUCGAUAUUUAUUUUAAGCGCGAUAUCAAAAACAACUAUAUUGUUCGUUUCGAUAUAGACUGGAUUGUGCUGUUCUCUUGUAUCUUGACACGGAGGUGUCUCACUCAUCACUGCUGUGUGUCAGCACUCCUUAGCGGGUUGCUGCCCCGCCCCCACCGUGUUCCGUGCUACAUCUGGCGACAUUCCAAACCCUCUGGGCAACAUAUUUUUUCAAAAGCGACUAGCAAAAAAUUUAGGUACAUUUUCUGUCGUCGUUGGAGAGUUUUCUGGUAUUUGGAAACAAAAAAGUGAAAGUAAAGCUCCCACUGUACACUGCACUGGAGACCCACGCAUCCUCGAGACGCGAUGCCACUGGGGUGGAUCUGAAAUGAAAAUGUUUCUUAAUCUUCAUUAAAUGACUAUGCAUUACACUCAAACCUCAUUCGGUCUCGGUGACUUGUCAGUGUGUCAGAACGUGUGAUGGAAGAACAAUGUGUGAUCAGUGAACAAGUAGUCCUGACUACAAGAUAAAAGGUGGAGACUGGAGACAGUCUUGCUGUAAUUAUUACGCUAUCUAGACUUUGAGAGGCGUUAGCCAAGAUACAAUUUUAAAAUUAUUUUAUUUUGAUGAAGGGAUGGCCAAUUUUAAAUUAUUUACAGUUCAAAACAUAAUGAAAGUGUUUUUACUCAUUUUUUCGUCUCUCCUAUGAGGUUCUGCUUUCUAAAGAAAAAAAAAUACUGUUCAAAGUAAAGUAUUUUUGAGUUGCUGCUCAAAUUUUAAAAAAUUCCUCUUAAACGGGACACUUUAUUUCAUGUUAUUUUGUGCUUCUGAUAUUAGCUAAGGAUUUGAGCAUAGCUAAAGGGUUGUUAUAGAGACGACUGAUGGUUAUAUUUUACUUUUUCUAUAUUAAUUUCAAAAAGAGAAUGGACUGUUUUGUUUUAGCGACUAUUUUUCGAUAAGAUUUUUUCAAUUUUAAUGAAACAACUUUAGGAGCAUAUUUGACUUUAAUUUGUCUGAACUCACUUUGUGGAAAAAAUAUCGGGGUAUAUCGAUAUUCAACAUAAAUAUAUCGGGAUGUCAGUUUUGGUCCAUAUCGCCCAGCCUUUGCUGCUACGCAUCAUGAAGGAAUUCUCUUAUUGCAUCGAUGUUGCCUGUGCUGCAGGUGGUGGCCACACUGGACAUUUGUAAGACAGGGAAUAAAACUUGAUUGUGAGUAGAAUACUUGUGACUUGGCUGGAGUUUUCUGUUGCUUUUCCUUAAAGCAGUGCUUCUCAAAUAGUGGGGUGGGCGCCCCUGGGAGGGGGGCGGUGAACUGUCAGAGGGGGGGCGUGAGAGGCAGGGAGUACUUUCAAUAUUAGUGCAGACCUGCCAACAUGUACAAAUUUAUUGAGUAUUUGAUUUCAAAUCGGGGGGUGGGGCGUCAAAACAUUUCUGUCCCCUGGCGGGGCAUGACCGAAGAUGAUUGAGAAUCACUGCCUUAAAGUAUUGCAUAAUGAAAUCGGUUCAUUCUUUUUGAAUAACCUUGUAUUGUUGUAUUAUGUUCGACCGCAGCGGUUCCACUGUAUAUGCAAGAAGUGUGUCUGUGCAGGUGUACAAUUUGGUGCUGAUCCAAAUAAAUUUUUAAUUAAUUUUGUUGGACUCUUCUAGUUAUAGAAGUCUGAAGCAAACGUGGAUGAGGAUACUUGUAUGUGAGCUUGAACUUGUCCCAUUUGAGCUGCUCCGGGGUGAGGGUGUAGCGCUUGUUCCUGGAGAGGUGAAGCACUUGCGAGUGGGCCUCUUUGCGCAUUCCGAUGAGCAACACAGUGGUGUAAGCUUCUUCCUUGGACAAAGAGAAGCCUUUGAUUAAUCACCUCACACAGCCUUGACUCUCUCAAAGAGAAUUUAGGUGCUUUGGCAGCUCUGCCCGAAAGAAGGUUUGAGGAAGCUUGUGAGGAAAUUGAGGCAGAUAGAUGACUGUUUUUCUGGCAGAUUACAAGCGUCAGAAGGCUUUGACUUUAGCAUUCAGGCAUAAAUUCCAUUUGUCUUCUAACAGUAUCAACAGUGCUGGGCUGCUACUAUUUCAUUGCUUUGCAAGUGAGGCACUUACUAUGUUUUCAUGCACUGGAAUUCUACCUCACGGAAAAUGAAGAGGUCAGCAGUGAAAGUGCUUUCCAAACACCGACAAUGAUCUUUGUCCCUAUCGAUCUAACGUGUCUUUGGAGUACAAAUUCCAGGUAAUAACACCUGGAUUAGAGCCUCUUUGUACAGCUUUGAGAGACUUUCCUUGGGCGCUUUUGCAGUUUAGUACUCUCAUAAAUAAGCUGUGACCAAAGAAACAGGUUUUGGUUUGUCUUGGCGGCAAUAAUUUAUAUUAUUGGUCACUUUUAUGGAGAUGGGUUUUAGUGAUAGAUCCAUUUUUCCAAAAUAGGAAGGUGAGCCAGAGAGUGCAUGCGAACGGGAACACUUCUACUCCCUAAACGUAUUUUAAGUUGAUUUAUAGGGAACAUUAAAAGUGAAAAACUUAGGCUGCGGCCAUUUAACCCUUCAGGACACUCAUUCAAAUACUUGAAAAUGUCAAAAUUUCACACUAGAAAAUAUGUCCAGGUUUGUUUUCUCAAUUGUUCAUUAUUAAUUGAAUUAAAUUUGUUUAUAUGUGACUAUUAUAUAAGUUAUUUUACUGAUUGGCUGGGAGAAAUCACAUGGUCCCACUGCCUUAUAGUGGUGGCGUCCAUUUUCACUUAGGUUUAAGCUACCAAAUGGGUCCAGGUAACCCUUACCAUGAUGCAAUGGGAUCCCUCUCUCUUCUUCCAUCCCAAUGUUUUUACACUCAUAUCCUGUUUAUAUGUGUUUCUCUACUACAACUAUUAGUACUACUGGUACAGCUAUUGCUUUGUGCAUUGUUCUGUCAUCCCACCCCUCAUGUCUCUAUCCUCUUUCACUCCAUGCGGAUGCCCCCCCACCACACAGACACACACACUUCAGUUUUGGUUCUUCCUCAUAGAGGAGAGUGCUUACAGCUCUUAUGGGGAUCAACUUGAUUUUUUUCACAUGAUUAUGACUUGAUAAGCACAUGAAAUAAGGAUUGCAUUAUAAACUGCCUUUAUACAUUCCGAAAUAGACAGCAUGACAUACAAUUCAGCAUUUAAGGAACAAACAAUUAUACAAGACUACUUCUGAACUUCAUAUGCUUCCCACAAUCCCAUCAAAACUGGCUUCUUCUGGAAAGUUCUGCCACGUAUUAAACAGGUAGCUUUUUAUUUGAUCCAUAAUAUUGCGUUGUUUAAGCUUCUGUAGCAUUAAUUUGUCUCCUUGUUGGGGUGCAAGAUCUCGUGUCACAAGACCUCGCAAGCUUAAAACAAGACAAGAUUUCCUGAUUUCAGGAAAGAACUGUCUCAUAGGUACUAGGCCUUGGACGAUAAUAAAUAAAUAACUUUCACACAAUAAAUGAAAAUGAACUGGAUAAUUUUGCCGGCCUCAAUAUAUCGCCAUGUGCAUGCGUGUAUGUUUUCCUCGUCUCUGGCCUCCAAACAGACAGGAAGCGGUUCAUUCCGUGCAUUGGUUUCAGCACCUUGACGUGUAUGUUCCAAAGAACGACAUGAUUGGAGUGAGCCAUUUUGUCAGUCAUACAGUCUCUUUGUCUCGGUGGGUGGAGGCGGGGCCGGUAGCAUACACACAAAGUGCAGAAGAGCGUGAUUUAGUAGAAAUUAAAAUAGUAGAUUACAAUAUAUUGGCAUCUAUUUUUUUAAUACUUUUCUAAAAGUAUUAUUAAAAUCUAGUCUCGUCUCAUAGAACCAAUCUCGUGUAUCGUAUCGUGUGUCUCCUUACACCCUAGUUGUUAGUUUCAACUUGCUUUCAUUUUUGCUCUUGUAUUUUUGUAGCUGCAUAUUUAAAUAUGCUCCGGGCCAAUAAAUCAGCUGCGGGCUGCAAAUGUCCCCCGGACUGUAAUUUGGACACCCCCGUCUUAGUCAGUCUCAAUCAUGGCUUGGGCUGUACACCCUGUGGUUCUACCUGUAUCUUAAUUAUUCGUCUUCUAACUUCCUGUAGGAUAUUUGACAAGUAAAUUAGGGUCUUUUAAUGUGACGGUGCUGCAAGAAUAGGGUGAGUAAAUCCUGGUGUGUUUUGGGGUAAAAAGUCCAGGUCUUAAUUAGUAGGUGUUCAGGGUUUUUCCUUUUCAUAUUGAGGUUUCUUGCAAAUCACAUUUGGCGUUUAAUUCUUGGAGAAAAAAACUACCAAAGAGCCUUUAUUCACUGUUGUGUUUUCCUCCCUCCUAGCUUCCUGUUUCUGCCUCACCCAAUCAAGGCCAUAGAUGCAGUGCUUCCUUCUCUUCCUUUGCCAAAUAGUGAAGCCGCGGGGCUGUGCUUCGACUUCUGAUGUUGAAGAUAACAUGGCUGUAUUAUAUUAGACUGCACACGCUCUAUUUAUUUCUCUCAUUAAUAAAUAAUACGUCAUUCCUGAGGUGUUUAAUGUGGCAAAGCCAGCGCAGAUAUUUCUCUAACUUGUUAUGUUCCCUCAAAAUCUCCCAUGCUCGUAAGAAAAGAUGUACCAUAAACGUUGAAGCGCUGUAGACUAAACACAGACACAGAAGGGCAAACAUUUUAAACAAAACAUCACUGAAAAUCUUUAGGGGACGCCACAUCCAGAGCCAUGGAUUCUGACGUUUAAUGCUUACUUGGAUAUUACUGUUUUUUAAUAUUCAGAAGGAAAUGAAAAGACUCAUUAGGUACUAAUCUAAUUUGUCUGGCUGGCCCUCCUGCCAUGUACAGAAGAUGCUUAUCUCACUCAGGAUGUUAUGUAACCCUGAGCAGCAGCGGCACUCUUGAUGGACACAUAAUGAGAGCGCGUAGCAAAGGAAAUGAAAUAAAGCCAUCCCUCAUGAUUCCUCGUGCUCUGUGUCACACAGGGAAGUCCAGGUCCCUUUAGUAAAGUACCGUAUACAGUAUACAGUAUAUAUACCAGGGGUCAUGGAGCCACUUUUCCAAAAUGAAAAUGGUCAAGAGCUACUCAUUUUUGUAACAUUUAUUUUCAUAUAGCUUAUUUCAACUCAAACAAAGACAAUAUGCGUGUUUUACCAGAACAUGAACAAAAUGCUGGUAUCCACAACUCACAUUUUGUAUUUCUGAAUGCAUUUCUGUCUUGUGUUCUCGCAUUAUUAACUGAAAACCUGAAUGACAAGCAGACUUGCAGGCACCUCAUGUGGUUGGUCUUGGUGACCCCUGAUAUAUACUAUAUGUUGAUCCAUAGCUGGAUCUCAUUAGUGACAAUGUUCAUUAUGUUAGCAUUCAGAGUAUUUUUUUAAUUUCAUAAAUGGUAUCGAUUAUGGAUCUCUCUCGAAACUGACUGAGUGGGAAAAUUCUUCCUCAUAACAGUCGGGGGAAACUAUAUAUGAUACACCAGGUGUCAGUAAUGAUACUUUUUCUUUGAUCCCAUAGAAUUAGUGCACAUUGACAGGUGCAUCACUUCUGUCAACACACCUCUAACUCUGUGAAGUCAUUUUUUGUUUUAUACACAAGAAUCCCUAAAUCACGUCCUAUUACAGUGGAACCCCCUAUUAGUGUACGCCCCGGUUAGCGCGUUUAUCGUUUUACAUUGCCAAAUUUUGCCUCGGUUUGUGUGUGUUUUCCAGUUAGCAUACAGUGUGGUGUCUUGUUGUGUUAUCAAUGCACAGUGUGUGGCCAACUGUAUUCUGAAUGUAUUUUAAUCAAUAAACGUCUUUGUUAACAGCCUAUUAGCUUGCUACUGCAUCGAAACAGGAACUGGACGUCCACCUUCGGGAUUUGAUAUGAGUUAUUUCUUGAAUUCAAUAGUUCUUCUCACGUUCUCUAUCAUAUGCGGGCACUUGGAACUUUCUUUGGCUACAUUUUGGCUCAUUUUGCAGCCGUGACAUAAAAAAAAAAGGUGAGAAACAAUACUGAAUUCAAAAAAUAACUCAUAGCAUAACACAAAGUUUUGAUCUCACAGCCACAUCGCUGUCUUUGUCACAUCUUGAAUGAAAUUAAAAGUAACCUUAAAUGUUAGUUUGUCCCUUUCGUUCGUCAUUUAUGCUGUAUGUAUUUCGAAUGGUUUUCUGCAUGUAACACUAUAAUAGUAAAACUAUAAAAAUGUGGGGGUUUUUUUUUUUACAUUUUUGGCUUUCUGGAACAGAUUAAUAUACGUUAUUUCUUGUGGAAAAAAAAAUUUUGGUUAGCGUCUAUUUUGGUUGGAGUCUGGCAUCCUGGAACAGAUUAAUGACACUAACCAAGGUUCCACUGUAUUUACAUGAUGCAUUGCCUCAACCCUGUGGAGUUCAUCCCACUACUGCUUUACUGAGAAUACAGAAUGCCUUCAUAAUAAUGUUUUACUCAUGAUACUUUUUUUUAAAAUGAGAUUUAAAUUAUCCGUUUUUUGAACACUCACAUUUUAAAUACAUUUUUAGUAUAGUAUUAAUAGUAAUAUUAGUUUUAAAAGUAAUUUUACUCCAGAAAAUCAUUGUACAGGACUACAU